rnacentral:SRP_RNA from 1 species
GCUGGGUGGGAUGGCACCUGUCUGUAGUCCCAGCUAUUCGGGAGGCUGAGGUUGGAGGAUCUCUUGAGCCCAGGAGGUCUGGGCUGUAGUGCACUAUGCCGAUUGGGUGUCCGCACUAAGUUCGGCAUCAAUAUGGUGACCUCCCAGGAGCAGGGGACCACCAGGUUGCCUAAGGAGGGAUGAACCGGCCAAGGUCGGAAAUGGAGCAGAUCAAAACUCCUGUGCUGAUCAGUAGUGGGAUUGCACCUGUGAAUAGCCACUGCACUCCAGCCUGGACAACAUAGUGAGACCCUCUCAU